ACUGUAAAAAGAAAAAAUGAACCGAACAUAAAUAAACGUGUGUAAUAUUAAGUUAAGGUAAAAUUUCUAAUUCGCUUUUUGUUCUCGAGUUGUUGGUUUGAUACAGAAAUAUUACUAAAUAUUAUUCUUACCUUAGCGGCCAUUUUAUUAUGUGUUUUUGGACUCGUCGAGUAUUUACUUUAAUUCUGCUGUAACGCUAAAU